AAGCAUAUUAUUAAGCGGAGGAAAAGAAACUAACCAGGAUUCCCCUAGUAAGGGCGACUGAAGCGGGAAGAGCUCAAGAUGUGAAUCAGCGCUUCGGCGUUGAAUUGUGGUCUAUAGAUGGUAUCACUACCAGCCGGGCCAAGUCUCUUGGAAAAGGGCAGCUUAGAGGGUGAAACUCCCGUGCGCCUGGCAGGAUGAGAUACCAUUCAACGAGUCGAGUUGUUUGGGAUUGCAGCUCAAAGUGGGUGGUAAAUUCCAUCUAAAGCUAAAUACUGGUGGGAGACCGAUAGCGUACAAGUACCGUGAGGGAAAGAUGCAAAGAACUUUGAAAAGAGAGUUAAAGAGUACCUGAAAUCGCUGAAAGGGAAGCGAAGGAAACCAGUGCAGACCAAGUCAUACUUCCCUGGCCGCGUGCGGCUUGGGCGCUGUGGCUUGGUUGGUGUCUUGUUUGGUUGGAACUUUUGGAAGAGCCUUGGAGGGAGUUGCCCUUCUCUGCUGCCACUGGUCUCAACUGAGACAGACAAAAUGGUUUUCUUUUUCCCGUCUUG
rnacentral:rRNA from 1 species